GACAGAGGGUGCGGACGUUGUUCGGAAUUACUGGGCGUAAAGCGCGUGUAGGCUGUUCGGCAAGUCGGGUGUGAAAGCCCUGGGCUCAACCUAGGAAGUGCACUCGAAACUCCCGAACUGGAGUCCCGGAGAGGAAGGCGGAAUUCUCGGUGUAGAGGUGAAAUUCGUAGAUAUCGAGAGGAACAUCGGUGGCGAAGGCGGCCUUCUGGACGGUGACUGACGCUGAGACGCGAAAGCGUGGGGAGCAAACAGG
rnacentral:rRNA from 1 species